ACUAUUCUGUGAGCAACUGUAGGAUACUAAGAAUUUGUAUUUUGAAAUGUUAAAAAUUUGGAUUAUGAUGACAAAUUGUAGAUAAUCUGCUUUUGCAUAUCAGAUACCCAGAGAGCAUUGCACCUUUUGGAAGAAUAUCGUUCAAAACUAAGCCAAACUGAAGACAGACAGCUCAGAAGUUCCAUAGAACGGGUUAUUAACAUAUUUCAGAGCAACCUCUUUCAGGCUUUAAUAGAUAUUCAAGAAUUUUAUGAAGUGACCUUACUGGAUAAUCCAAAAUGUAUAGAUCGUUCAAAGCCGUCUGAACCAAUUCAACCUGUGAAUACUUGGGAGAUUUCCAGCCUUCCAAGCUCUACUGUGACUUCAGAGACACUGCCAAGCAGCCUUAGCCCUAGUGUAGAGAAAUACAGGUAUCAGGAUGAAGAUACACCUCCUCAAGAGCAUAUUUCCCCACAAAUCACAAAUGAAGUGAUAGGUCCAGAAUUGGUUCAUGUCUCAGAGAAGAACUUAUCAGAGAUUGAGAAUGUCCAUGGAUUUGUUUCUCAUUCUCAUAUUUCACCAAUAAAGGUAGGAUAGUAUCUAUUUAUUAUUGUUAUGAAUUACAUAUUACUUUUGUUAUACAUAUAGCUCAUGCUCGGAGAGAAGUAUUCUUUCA
rnacentral:sRNA from 1 species